rnacentral:rRNA from 1 species
GGAUGCGAUCAUACCAGCACUAAAGCACCGGAUCCCAUCAGAACUCCGAAGUUAAGCGUGAUUGGGCGAGAGUAGUACUAGGAUGGGUGACCUCCUGGGAAGUCCUCGUGUUGCAUUCCC